rnacentral:rRNA from 1 species
AACGCUGGCGGCAGGCUUAACACAUGCAAGUCGAACGGGCACUUCGGUGCUAGUGGCAGACGGGUGAGUAACACGUGGGAACGUACCUUUCGGUUCGGAAUAACUCAGGGAAACUUGAACUAAUACCGGAUACGCCCUUCGGGGGAAAGAUUUAUCGCCGAUAGAUCGGCCCGCGUCUGAUUAGCUAGUUGGUGAGGUAAUGGCUCACCAAGGCGACGAUCAGUAGCUGGUCUGAGAGGAUGAUCAGCCACAUUGGGACUGAGACACGGCCCAAACUCCUACGGGAGGCAGCAGUGGGGAAUAUUGGACAAUGGGCGCAAGCCUGAUCCAGCCAUGCCGCGUGAGUGAUGAAGGCCUUAGGGUUGUAAAGCUCUUUUGUCCGGGAAGAUAAUGACUGUACCGGAAGAAUAAGCCCCGGCUAACUUCGUGCCAGCAGCCGCGGUAAUACGAAGGGGGCUAGCGUUGCUCGGAAUCACUGGGCGUAAAGGGCGCGUAGGCGGACUCUUAAGUCGGGGGUGAAAGCCCAGGGCUCAACCCUGGAAUUGCCUUCGAUACUGGGAGUCUUGAGUUCGGAAGAGGUUGGUGGAACUGCGAGUGUAGAGGUGAAA